GUACCCUGAAUCAAGGUUCUGUACAUAUCUGUCACCAGUGUUGCUUGUGUAUGGCCACUCCUUUUAAAAGGAUUCACACCUGGACAGCUAUAGUGACAAACUUGUUUCCAUACUUUUAUUUCAGUAAUGUGAACAUUGUGGCUAUCUUAACCAUUAAUUAACAAUUAACAAUAAUUCUGUAAAUCUGUAAAUAUGUUUUAUGUUGGUUUGUACUCUGAACAGGAUCCUGUGAAAUAUCCUAUUUUACAGUCCAGGAGUUACAAGGCGCUUUAUGGUGAUAACGCUGGUUUCGAUUCACGCUGGGAUUUAUUGGAAAGAAGUAAUUUAGAAAGAGUUUAUAACAUCUAAAAUCACCUGGUGCCAAAUGAUACGUAGACAUGCUUAGUUUAGUAUAUUAUCACAACAGAAGGAAUACAAACAAAAGCAUGUAAAAACCUCCUCAUGCUCGUGCCAAUGAACUCCAGAGCAAGCCAAAGGAUUGCUUUGAGAUUGUACAUUAAUAAUCCUUUAUAAAGGAAAUAAUUCUUCUGCCAUUCCACAGGAAAUCUCUGAGGUUAAUACCUGGUACAUAGUGGACUGUAAAGUGAAAUCACCAAAUCAUGUAUUUGAAGUAUUUUUAAGAGCGCCAAUGUCUUUUGUAUCUUGUCUGUUCUCUGGUGCAUUGAACAAACAGAAGGAUGUAUCUUCACUGGACACUGUGACACAGAAACCCAGCUCCAGGUUUCCCAUCUCCGCAUUUGCGAAACAAAUAUUUCUAUUUUCAGACAGUGAGACUUCUUGAGCUAUUUUGAAGUUGUUUGAGUCCCACGUACCUCUGUUUGACCCGGCGGGCCUGUAUUCCCGGCAGGAACCAGCCAGGUGACAUCUCAGUGUGAGCGGUUGCUGGACCAGCUUCAUACAGUCACAUUUAAACCACAUAACUGACUUUGCGAGGGCUGUCAGAUGACACACUGUGUUUAAUACUGCAGGGUCUGUGAAGCUGUGAGCACUUAGUGUUGUUUUAUAAUUGCUUUGUCAGCGACAUCAGAAUGUAGUCUUUGUUUCUCCGUCCAGUCCCCCUGGACCAGAGAGAGUAGGAAGGGAUCCAAACUGUUUCUUGGAACAAGAAAAUAAUAUGGUGUUGAGUUUCCAAUAGAAUAAACAAACAUAAAUAAUAUUCUUACUUUAGUUGGAUCUUCAGUUCUCUUUCUCUAUGCAGAUGUGUGAUUAAUCAUGUCGAGAUUAGAGGAAGUAGCCAUGUAUAUUUUUGAUAUGUCUUGUUUUCUGAUCUGUAAAGAAAUAAAACGGUUUAGUAUUAUGUGUA